CAAGAUUUGUCAUGUCAAGGCACAAGAUCUGAAUGAUAAAUGUAACUGUACUGUACACUUAAAAAAGUACCAAUAAACUCAAAGAGAAAAAAAUAAAGUAAAAUUAACAUAUAAAUUAGUGGGUUUUGAACAAUGAAGAUUACAUAAUACAAUAGAUAUCAUUGGUUAAAGAUCUCCGGAGGAGAAAUUGAUGGGUUUUUUUUGCUAUUUUUGUUUUGUUUCGUUGGUAUUUUUGCUUUUUGAUUUUUUCAGAGAUUGCAGUUCACUGAAUGAGAAACAAUUCUACCUCAAGAAUGAGCCACGGUGACCCUGCCACCAGCAAGCUGGAGGAGCCUGAAAUCACUGCAUACAUGCUAACAAAUGGAGCAAGUGAAAACCACUUCACCCAAGGAGGAAAAGUCAGCAGUGUGCAGAUUUUCUGAGAAGUUGCCAUAGAACUCCAGCCAAAUCCUCACAAAGCCGGUAUGUCCGGAGCAGCCAGC
rnacentral:lncRNA from 1 species